UCGGAUGUGGUGUACGGUGCACGCCCGCUUUUUCUGGGCGAUGGCCCUUUUCACAAUUUCAACAGCGGGAGAUCUGGGUUCGACUCUCAGUAUUCGAA